UGGGGAAUAUUGCACAAUGGGGGAAACCCUGAUGCAGCCAUGCCGCGUGUGUGAAGAAGGCCUUCGGGUUGUAAAGCACUUUCAGUUGUGAGGAAAGUUAUGUAGUUAAUACCUGCAUGAUGUGACGUUAACAACAGAAGAAGCACCGGCUAACUCCGUGCCAGCAGCCGCGGUAAUACGGAGGGUGCGAGCGUUAAUCGGAAUUACUGGGCGUAAAGCGCACGCAGGCGGUCUGUUAAGCUAGAUGUGAAAGCCCCGCGCUCAACGUGGGAGGGUCAUUUAGAACUGGCAGACUAGAGUCUUGGAGAGGGGAGUGGAAUUCCAGGUGUAGCGGUGAAAUGCGUAGAGAUCUUGAGGAACAUCAAUGGCGAAGGCAACUCCCUGGCCAAAGACUGACGCUCAUGUGCGAAAGUGUGGGUAGCGAACAGGAUUAGAUACCCUGGUAGUCCACACCGUAAACGCUGUCUACUAGCUGUUUGUGGAUUUAAUCCGUGAGUAGCGAAGCUAACGCGAUAAGUAGACCGCCUGGGGAGUACGGCCGCAAGGUUA
rnacentral:rRNA from 1 species